rnacentral:pre_miRNA from 1 species
AGCUUUCCGAAUCCGUGCUGAGAUUUUGUCCGAUACCAGCCCAUUAGGGAUGAUCAAGCUUCCAAGAUAAAUGAAGUU